rnacentral:rRNA from 1 species
GACGAACGCUGGCGGCGUGCCUAAUACAUGCAAGUUGAGCGCUGAAGGUUGGUACUUGUACCAACUGGAUGAGCAGCAAACGGGUGAGUAACGCGUGGGGAAUCUGCCUUUGAGCGGGGGACAACAUUUGGAAACGAAUGCUAAUACCGCAUAAAAACUUUAAACACAAGUUUUAAGUUUGAAAGAUGCAAUUGCAUCACUCAAAGAUGAUCCCGCGUUGUAUUAGCUAGUUGGUGAGGUAAAGGCUCACCAAGGCGAUGAUACAUAGCCGACCUGAGAGGGUGAUCGGCCACAGUGGGACUGAGACACGGCCCAAACGCCUACGGGAGGCAGCAGUAGGGAAUCUUCGGCAAUGGACGAAAGUCUGACCGAGCAACGCCGCGUGAGUGAAGAAGGUUUUCGGAUCGUAAAACUCUGUUGGUAGAGAAGAACGUUGGUGAGAGUGGAAAGCUCAUCAAGUGACGGUAACUACCCAGAAAGGGACGGCUAACUACGUG